rnacentral:rRNA from 1 species
UACGUAGGGUGCAAGCGUUAAUCGGAAUUACUGGGCGUAAAGCGUGCGCAGGCGGCUAUGCAAGACAGAUGUGAAAUCCCCGGGCUCAACCCUGGGAACUGCAUUUGUGACUGCAUGGCUAGAGUACGGCAGAGGGGGAUGGAAUUCCGCGUGUAGCAGUGAAAUGCGUAGAUAUGCGGAGGAACACCGAUGGCGAAGGCAAUCCCCUGGGCCUGUACUGACGCUCAUGCACGAAAGCGUGGGGAGCGAAA